CUGGAGUUCGGGCUCGGAAAGAAAAUUGAAACAGUUUUACACCUCUUGUACCACAAAUACGAGAGGGGAAGACGUCAUAAAUUAUGAGGACGGACAUGGGAGGGAUUUCUCGGGAACAUUUACCAAUUGGCUUUCCGACGCUACUAUAGUUUCUCCCGAACCAGAUAAUCUCAAAAAAGAAUUUUGCACUGGUCGAAUCCGUACAAAAUUUCCCCUCCUCGUGACUCGAUUAUUUCUGGAAAAAAAUAUGGAAUCGAUUUCAAACGCUGGCGAAAUCUCGAAUCAAGUCCUGCAAACUGUGAAGGAUUCAAUCAACUCCGCAUCCGACUGGAUUCCGACCCCAAUUUCGCUCAAUACCAGGAUGGGAUUCUUUUUGGGCUACAAACAAUUCUUUUUGGGCUACAGCCGUUAUCGAUUUGUAUUCCGGUCUAUCCCUGGAUUCGAACGAUUUUCUAGAAAAUUUGAAACAAGUCGAUAAAUUUAAUAAAAUCCUGGAAUCAAUUCCGUCCCUGGAUGGCGCAAUAACUUCGGCGCAAUCAACCUUGCUGGCUAAUGCGACCUACAGCUUAGUUCAUGAUUUUGUCGUCCUUUCACCCGGGGAGGUGCACGUGCCCCGAUUUCAUCCCGGGUUUUUGGACAUGAAUUAGGCCAUGCUGUAAUGACCUACUUCAAUGGAAUGAGGCUGGAAAACAAGACGAAAAUUUUCAUUCAUGAGGAACCAUCAGAAUUCACCAAGCGUGUCUUUCAAGAAAAAUGAGAAUGUGUGGAAAGGCAGUACAACAGCUAUGAAAUUCAACUUCCCAACAACGAGAACAUCCGUAUCAAUGGAACUUUCACCUUGAACGACAACGUGGCCGACAUAAUCGGGAUUUAAAUGGCGUUCAAAUCCUGGAUGGAGAAUGACAUGGACAAAUCCCACAAAAAAUUCCUACCCCCACAAUUAUCUCAGGAGGGGAGCUUGCGAGGUUGAUAAUAACAGAUCUUGGUGCCCUUUGGAUAUGUG